GACAGAGCCUGAUCUCAGAGGAAAUUCCUUUUGAUACUCACCAAAAAUAUGUUUUUGUCACUAUGAUGUUGUAGAGUUUGACACCAGAGGGCUGUUUCCACAUCUUCAUCUGCUGAAGAAGGGAACAUUCCUCUGUGCUCACCUCAACUCCGAGCUUGACACGUGGAUCUGCAAGCAGGAUUUUGUGACAUCGCAGCUAAUUUUACAACAUUCAUGCUCCAGAAUUUGGGGAAGGAACCGUGUGUCAGCACUCUGACAGAGAACACCAACUAUACCGCCAUCUGUGCCUGCAAGUAAGAGGCACAAUGCAACAAAGUGGUGUGUCACGGUGUCGCAAGGAGAGGCCAUGGAGCCACUGAUAAUUUCAUGAUGGGGGAGCUAUUGUGUUAAAGCUGCAGAGAGGGGGAGAAAAGAGAGAGGGACUCUGGGCUGGACACUUCGCAGGCGUGGCACCACAGCAGCAGCAGCAGAGGCUCUGAAGCAGCUGGCAUCCACAAUUAGAAAGACGGGAACAGAAAGAGACAGGAAGGAAGCUAUGAGACAGAGGUGAAGAAAGGGAGGGUGAGGGAAGGUUAGGAGGGAUAGAAAGGAAUGGAAGACAAGCACUCUUGUCACACACACAUGUGAGAAAUGUUCACAUCUGGUUCUCUCCUCUCUGUGUACAGAGCACCAAAUUGAGUUGUCAUCUGCAAGAGCCUGUGGUAGCGAAUCACAGAUUAAAUUGUUGCUUUCCCUAAUUAGCUCCAGUGUGAACUCUAAGGCCCAGCAUCCCAGAAUGUGUGUCACUUUUAUAAUCCUUCCCGCAGAGCAAUUUAAAAUGGGAGGUAACUACCUUUAGGCUGCACCGUGGCUGGAGUCAUUUCCAGGCCACAUUAAAUGAUAAGAUCUGUAAUAAGGCUGAAAUAUAGCUUAGCUGAUUGAGCCAGGUGAAGGAGACAGCUUUUGUCAUAUUAAUCCUAAUGUGAAAAUGAUGGAAGAAAAAUGAAGUCAGGGAUGAAAAUGAUUAAUCGUGCAAGGAGCUGGAUGUGCCAGUUGUGUAACAAAAAAGAGAAAGGAAAAGAAAAAAAAAUACAUUCAAGCAUUUAAGCAAUUAUGUAAUUUGUUCCAUGCUUCGAAGAGUGCAAAUGCAAAUUGAAUACAGUGACUCACAGCCACGAAGCAGGUGCAGACGAGCAGAGGCAGGAUUAUCUGAUUGAA
ensembl:lncRNA